CUCCUACGGGAGGCAGCAGUGGGGAAUUUUGGACAAUGGGCGCAAGCCUGAUCCAGCCAUUCCGCGUGAGUGAAGAAGGCCUUCGGGUUGUAAAGCUCUUUCGGCAGGGAAGAAACAGUUGAGGCCAAUACCCUUGACCAAUGACGGUACCUGAAGAAGAAGCACCGGCUAACUACGUGCCAGCAGCCGCGGUAAUACGUAGGGUGCGAGCGUUAAUCGGAAUUACUGGGCGUAAAGCGUGCGCAGGCGGUUUUUCAAGUCUGAUGUGAAAGCCCCGGGCUUAACCUGGGAACUGCGUUGGAAACUGAAAGACUAGAGUGCGGCAGAGGGGGGUAGAAUUCCACGUGUAGCAGUGAAAUGCGUAGAUAUGUGGAGGAAUACCGAUGGCGAAGGCAGCCCCCUGGGUCGACACUGACGCUCAUGCACGAAAGCGUGGGUAGCAAACAGGAUUAGAUACCCUGGUAGUCCACGCCCUAAACGAUGUCAACUAGUUGUUGGGGAGGGAGACCUCCUUAGUAACGCAGCUAACGCGUGAAGUUGACCGCCUGGGGAGUACGGUCGCAAGAUUAAAACUCAAAGGAAUUGACGG
rnacentral:rRNA from 1 species